rnacentral:rRNA from 1 species
CCUACGGGAGGCAGCAGUGAGGAAUAUUGGUCAAUGGACGCAAGUCUGAACCAGCCAUGCCGCGUGCAGGAAGACGGCUCUAUGAGUUGUAAACUGUUUUUGUAGGAGGGUAAAUGCCGAUACGCGUAUCCUUCUGAACGUAUCGUACGAAUAAGGACUGGCCAACCCCGCGCCAGCAGCCGGGGUAAUACGGAGGGUUUAAGCGUUAACCGGAAUUAUUGGGUGUAAAGGGUGCGUAGGCGGUCGAAUAAGUUAGAGGUGAAAUCCCGAGGCUCAACUUCGGAAUUGCCUCUGAUACUGUUCGGCUAGAGAGUAGUUGCGGUAGGCGGAAUGUAUGGUGUAGCGGUGAAAUGCUUAGAGAUCAUACGGAACACCGAUUGCGAAGGCGGCUUACCAGACUACUUCUGACGUUGAGGCGCGAAAGCGUGGGGAGCAAACAGGAUUAGAUACCCCAGUAGUC